rnacentral:lncRNA from 10 species
GCUCAGGACUUCCCAUACUAUAUUGAAUAAAAGUGGUGUAAGCGGACAUCCUUUUCUUGUACCCGAUCUUAGAGGAAAAGCUCUCAACAUUUUAUGAGUCUUCCAGUUGAGUGGCUGCCGUUCCUACUGUAUGUUCUAGCCUACAAAGAAGAUUGAUCUUGCAACACCUCAAGGAUUCUGGGGCUCCUCUCAGAAAUUUUUUAAAAUAUUGGUGAAGAGUAUGUCUUCUAAAUUCAUCCAGUGUGUAAGAGAAAAAGAGGGGGAAGAUGACAGGAGAAAGAAGAUAAAGAGAAGCAAGAGGAAAAAAUACACAAGUAAACUGGAGAAUAAUGAAGUAAUUUACAUAACUAAAAUUUAAAAAUAAAUUGAUAUGUUGUAUAAGGAAAUCACUUACACACAGUAUGUCUUUCUCAAAUAUGCAAAGCAGCCAUCAAUAAAAUAAACAAAAGAUAAUCUUUGACCUGAUUUAAAAUACAGGGUAUUCACAAUUAAAGAACACACACACACACAAAUCCCAAUAGAAACACUAGUUUAUCGUAACAUUCCACUGUUUUGCACAGUGAAGAACAACAAUCAUACAUUAUAUAUCUUAUUAUAGUAGUGAAGAAAACAAAAGAGGACGUGAAGUCUAAAUGAGAAAAAAAUAACAGAAGAAAGUUAUAUUUUUAUUUAUGAUUUGGCCACACCUACCUACUCUUUAUUUUGUCAUGUCCUUCUGUUUAAAUCAAGAAUUAUUUUCUUCUAUUCUCAAUAGCAAGUACAUGAAAUCAACCCAAAUGCCCAUCAAUGAUAGACUGGAUAAAGAAAAUGUGGUACAUAUACACCAUGGAAUACUAUGCAGCCAUAAAAAGGAAAGAGAUUAUGUCCUUUGCAGGCACAUGGAUGGAGCUGGAAGUCAUUAUCAUCAGCAAACUAACACAGGGACAGAAAACCGAGCACCACAUGUUCUCACUUAGAAGUGGGAGCUGAAAAAUGAGAACACAUGGACGCAGGGUGGGGAACAAC